GUGGGGAAUCUUGCGCAAUGGGCGAAAGCCUGACGCAGCCAUGCCGCGUGAAUGAUGAAGGUCUUAGGAUUGUAAAAUUCUUUCACCGGGGACGAUAAUGACGGUACCCGGAGAAGAAGCCCCGGCUAACUUCGUGCCAGCAGCCGCGGUAAUACGAAGGGGGCUAGCGUGGCUCGGAAUUACUGGGCGUAAAGGGCGCGUAGGCGGACAGUUUAGUCAGAGGUGAAAGCCCAGGGCUCAACCUUGGAAUUGCCUUUGAUACUGGCUAUCUGGAGUAUGGAAGAGGUAUGUGGAACUCCGAGUGUAGAGGUGAAAUUCGUAGAUAUUCGGAAGACCGCCAGUGGCGAAGGCGACAUACUGGUCCAUUACUGACGCUGAGGCUCGAAAGCGUGGGGAGCAAACAGGAUUAGAAACCCUGGUAGUCC
rnacentral:rRNA from 1 species